AUUGAACGCUGGCGGCAGGCCUAACACAUACAAGUCGAGCGGAUGAAGAGAGCUUGCUCUCUGAUUCAGCGGCGGACGGGUGAGUAAUGCCUAGGAAUCUGCCUGGUAGUGGGGGACAACGUUUCGAAAGGAACGCUAAUACCGCAUACGUCCUACGGGAGAAAGUGGGGGAUCUUCGGACCUCACGCUAUCAGAUGAGCCUAGUUACGAUUAGGUAGUUGGUGAGGUAAAGGCUCACCAAGGCGACGAUCGUUAACUGGUCUGAGAGGAUGGACAGUCACACUGUGACUGAGACACGGGCCAGGCUCCUACGGGAGGCAGGAGGGGGGAAUAUUGGACAAUGGGCGAAAGCCUGAUUCAGCCAUGCCGCGUGUGUGAAGAAGGUCUUCGGAUUGUAAAGCACUUUAAGUUGGGAGGAAGGGCAGUAAGUUAAUACCUUGCUGUUUUGACGUUACCGACAGAAUAAGCACCGGCUAACUUCGUGCCAGCAGCCGCAGUAA
rnacentral:rRNA from 1 species